GCCGCGCGCCCCUCAUCAUCGGCAUCAUCACAAUCAAUAUAAUCAAUGCUGCUUUGGAGAGUUUGCCACCUGUUGUAAACGUUUCAGUGUCAGCACGCGUCCAAAGCGACUUGUUUUAGGAAGAAAUCCAUUGUUUGGUGAGCUUGAGAGGCAUAUUUAGAGAGCAGAGGAGACAUUGUGGAUUACAGACAGGCUGCAUGUUUCGUGUGUUCCGUGUUCAGUUGAAUGAGGAUGGGGAUGAUGAUGCCAUUUGCACGGAGGGAUUCAUGAGAUGUGUUUCUGCGGUCCUGACCUCCAGACCAUCAGUGUACCAGCUCUCGUUCCUCAAACCUCUUCCUGAGGGUUGGUUUCUCUCUUUGGUUAUCUAGCUGUAUGAGUUUUAACACUGUUCAUAAAGCUAGAUAACCGAAAGUAGAAAUAAUUCUCAAAAUCUGUUGAAAACAAGCAUGAAAGCAACAGAGCACCCACUUUUACCCCCAGAGUCUUAUUUCCAUCCACAAUAUGGCACAAUAAAGUAACAACAACAAGGGCACAGCCAUCAGAGAGCAAAGAGAGAGAGAGAGAGAUGCUUGGAGGAUCAUGGCAGUCUCCAUUUGCUCCAUCCUCCCUUCUCCAUCUACCCAGAAAGCCCCAGUGCCAUCUGUACCCCUGUGGGGUGCGGGAGAGUCCGUGCCAGUGCCAGCGGCGACAAAACCCUCGUCAGCGUCACGGGGAGGAAGGGAGGCCAUCUUGACGGAGAUCUUACACGAGAAGCUAAGAUGGCUGGGCUGGCACAUGAGACACAGCAUGGGUCACCCCCGUGCCUCCCCCAGUGUUGGGCCCUGGCAGAAGCGGCCCCUGAUGCCCCUGGCGAGGGUGAAGCUGGUAUGAGGGCCGGCAGCUGCAGCAUGCGUGCCUUUAAUGAACAGAACGUGGUGUCAGCCAUUAAUAUUCUGCCCAGCUCGCGGCUGGUCCCUCGCUCUCAGUGGAGGCCCCCUCCUUUAUAAAGAGCUCCGCUUUCCCACCAUUGUCAGGACCGCUGCUCCUGCGGCACGACUGGAGAGGGGGCAGGGUGGGAAACACCGAUGCAGACCAGACACCAGCAGAUGCCAAAGACACGAGAGGGUUAUGCAGAUCGCAGAGCCUUUGUGUGUGUGUGUGUGUGUACAGGGGUGUGUAUGUUUACAGACGGAGGGUGUUCGCCACCUGAUCAUCUUAAUUAGUUUGCAUGUAGUUAAUACGGGUCUCAGUCUGAGUGGGAUGCAGAUGUAAAUGGGCCGAGUGUGUUCCAGAAUUGAAGGCUAUUUUGUUCUCUGUUGUUUCUUGAGAACAAAUGCACAAAUUUAGCUGUUAAAUUA